GCCCUGUCUGCUGUUAUCAGAAGCAGAGGUCUCCAUCCUAUCUGUGUCAGGGUUGGUCUAGGGUGACAUGACUGAGGUAUCUGGGACACAAAACUGAAGGUGCUGCUCCCCGCAGGUCCAUAAAAUGCAGGGCUGGCACCUGAGAAUGAGCACAUCCUUACAUUUUUUGCCCUGGGUACCUCAUUUACCUCCCCUUUAUGACAGUCCUGACCCAUAUAUGUUUGCAGAAGCUUAAACACCUGGGCAGACACACAGCUGAGAGAACUUACAUGUUAGAAAAUGGAAAAUGGGCUGGGAAAUACAGACUUUCCUUCUUCAUUUACUUCUAAAUUGGUUCACUGUUCUUAUCAAAUCAGACAUUAUUGUUGACUAUAUGCUAAGUGCCUGACAUGCAUUGUCUCAUGUAAUCCUCAUAGCAGCCUUACUGAGUAGAUUUCAUCCUUAUCUCCACUUUGCACAUGAGGAAAUGAAAGCACACAGAGAUUAAGUAACUUGUCCAUGUUCCCAAAACUGAUAAGGGAUGGAGCCAGAUUUCGAACCCAGGUAGCUGGGUUCCUAGGUCUUUGUGUCUAACCACAUAUGGCCAUCCGUGAUGGCUCGUGUUAAAAGCACUUUUGCAAUUUAAAAAAUGGUGCAAAAUAACAUCUAAAAUAAUAUUUUAAUUAAUAAUACAUAUAUGUAUAUUAUAUGUGGAAAACAAAUAUCAAAAGGCAUUUUCGGCUGGGCGCGGUGGCUCACGCCUGUAAUCCCAGCACUUUGGGUGAUCCACCCGCCUCAGCCUCCCAAAGUGCUGGGAUUACAGGCAUGAGCCACCGCGCCCAGCCUUGUAAUUUUCUCCUGUAAAUUUCUCAUGUCAAGAUCUAAGGAAAGGAUCAAGGGCUGGCUUGGCCUAGGAACCAGGAGAAUGAAAGUCUGCCUCUACAUCUAUUUCUAGAACAUCUCAUUUAAUGAUACAAAAGGAAAACCAAAGACCUUGGCAGUGAAUCCAGGGUCAAAUCCACAGUUCAUCACUUAUGAGCUAUGUGACCUUGAAUAAGUCAGUCUCUCUGGGCCUUCUUUCUCAGCCAUAAAAAUGAACAAAUAAAUAAUUUUUUUGAAAAAAGACAAUUCACAGCUGCAUGUCCCAGAGCGGGUAAGAUAAGAGGCACAUAGUAGGCAUUCAUGAAACACCAGCUCUCUUUAAUACAUCUCUCCAUUCUCUGGUGACUCCGCUUGUCUCAUGUUUAAGACAGAGGUGACUCUAACCCUUUCCGUUUGAAGAGAACUGAAUAGUCCCAGAAACCCUUCUACAUAAUAGCCACCAGCUGCCUCCCUGGGGAACUGGAAGCUUAAAUGGGACAUUGCGUAUGAAACGCUUUGAGGGCCUUGGAAGAAAAGAGGCGAGAGAAUCUAGAGGGUUAUUAUUAGACAUGGAAACGAGAGAGCAAGAGCCCACACACGCC
rnacentral:lncRNA from 1 species